AGAACGAACGCUGGCGGCAUGCCUAACACAUGCAAGUCGAACGAGACCUUCGGGUCUAGUGGCGCACGGGUGCGUAACGCGUGGGAAUCUGCCCUUGGGUUCGGAAUAACUCAGAGAAAUUUGAGCUAAUACCGGAUGAUGACGUAAGUCCAAAGAUUUAUCGCCCAAGGAUGAGCCCGCGUAGGAUUAGCUAGUUGGUGAGGUAAAGGCUCACCAAGGCGACGAUCCUUAGCUGGUCUGAGAGGAUGAUCAGCCACACUGGGACUGAGACACGGCCCAGACUCCUACGGGAGGCAGCAGUGGGGAAUAUUGGACAAUGGGCGAAAGCCUGAUCCAGCAAUGCCGCGUGAGUGAUGAAGGCCUUAGGUGUAAAGCUCUUUUACCCGGGAUGAUAAUGACAGUACCGGGAGAAUAAGCUCCGGCUAACUCCGUGCCAGCAGCCGC
rnacentral:rRNA from 1 species